rnacentral:rRNA from 1 species
AUCAGCAUGCCGCGGUGAAUACGUUCCCGGGCCUUGUACACACCGCCCGUCACACCAUGGGAGUCGGUAACACCCGAAGCCUGUAGUCUAACCGCAAGGAGGACGCAGUCGAAGGUGGGAUUGAUGACUGGGGUGAAGUCGUAACAAGGUAAC